rnacentral:rRNA from 1 species
AAAAUAGAUACCCGGGUAGUCCACGCCGUAAAGAUGAGUGCUAAGUGUUAGAGGGUUUCCGCCCUUUAGUGGCUGCAGCUAACGCAUUAAGCACUCCGCCUGGGGGAGUACGGCCGCAAGGGCUGAAACUCAAAGGAAUUGACGGGGGGCCCGCACAAGCGGGUGGAGCAUGUGGUUUAAUUCGAAGCAACGCGAAGAACCUUACCAGGUCUUGACAUCCUCUGCCAACCCUAGAGAUAGGGCGGUUCCCCGUUCGGGGGACAGAGUGACAGGUGGUGCAUGGUUGUCGUCAGCUCGUGUCGUGAGAUGUUGGGUUAAGUCCCGCAACGAGCGCAACCCUUGAUCUUAGUUGCCAGCAUUCAGUUGGGCACUCUAAGGUGACUGCCGGUGACAAACCGGAGGAAGGUGGGGAUGGACGUACAAAUCAUCAUGCCCCUUAUGACCUGGGCUACUACACGUCGCUACAAUGGAUGGGUACAAAGAGCUGGCGAACCCGGCGAGGGUAAGCGAAUCUCAUAAAGCCAUUCUCGAGUUCGGGAUUGUACGG